CAAUAGCGUAUAUUAAAGUUGUUGCGGUUAAAAAGCUCGUAGUUGGAUUUCUGCCGAGGACGACCAGUCCGCCCACUGGGUGAGCAUCUGGCUCAGCCUUAGCAUCUUCUUGGAGAACGUAUCUGCACUUCAUUGUGUGGUGCGGUAACCAGGACUUUUACUUUGAGGAAAUUAGAGUGUUUCAAGCAGGCGUGCGCCUUGAAUACAUUAGCAUGGAAUAAUAAGAUAGGACCUUAGUUCUAUUUUGUUGGUUUCUAGAGCUGGGGUAAAGAUUAAUAGGGAUAGUUGGGGGCAUUCGUAUUUAACUGUCAGAGGUAAAAUUCUUGGAUUUGUUAAAGACGGACUACUGCGAAAGCAUUUGCCAAGGAUGUUUUCAUUGA
rnacentral:rRNA from 1 species